rnacentral:tRNA from 1 species
GGAAGCGUAUCGAAGUGGUCAUAACGGCCCCGACUCGAAAUCGGGUAAUCCAGAGAUGGGUUCGUGGGUUCGAAUCCCACCGCUUCCGCCA